rnacentral:rRNA from 1 species
CAGCCGCCACGGGAAUACGGAGGGUGCAAGCGUUAGUCGGAAUUACUGGGCGUAAAGCGCACGCAGGCGGUUUGUUAAGUCAGAUGUGAAAUCCCCGAGCUUAACUUGGGAACUGCAUUUGAAACUGGCAAGCUAGAGUCUUGUAGAGGGGGGUAGAAUUCCAGGUGUAGCGGUGAAAUGCGUAGAGAUCUGGAGGAAUACCGGUGGCGAAGGCGGCCCCCUGGACAAAGACUGACGCUCAGGUGCGAAAACGUGGGGAGCAAACAGGAUUAGAUACCCGGGUAGUCCCUGUCUCUUAUAC